GAAAGAGUGAUGGUGCUGCGGUGGGGUGGCACAGAGGGUGGUGGGCAGAGGAAGAUAUGGCAGUGGGAGUUGGGUAGGCUGUUACAGGGGGAAAUGGUCUAGGCAACUUUGGCUAUGCAACUGAGGCUUUUUCCAGUUCUUCUCCGCAUCCUGCAGCUUCAGGGAGUUUUGGGAACACUCCCUCAAAGAUCAGGUUAUGAUGCUGAAUGCCAGGCCGUCUUACCAAGGCAACCAUUUAGCUGACUUACAGUACUAACCAUCUGAAGAAGAGACAACUUUUGCACUUGAAAAGAAAGAGUAAAGACUCUGGGGGAAAUGCCUACAAAAUCUUCCUAAUAUCCUGUAAAUUACUUCAGUGCCAAUUUUUUAGCGCUAUGAUUUUUGCAGCUGAAAAGAAAUAUGAAGUUAAAUUCGGUCCUUCAGAUCCCUACUGUCUGAGGAAAUUGUCAUGAUUAACAAACUGCAACUAUUCAUGGAAUGAAAUACAAUUUAAUAUGAAAAAUUAUUACAAUACAAUUACAAAGUGGUGAUUGUUUA